rnacentral:lncRNA from 1 species
UACUGCGCGUAGGCGCUUUCGUCAAAAAUAAGAACAAAACAAAAUUAGAUUUCGAGCGAAACAUACAACAGGUGAAAACUGGUUUGUUGUUUUGUUUGAUUCCUAUCGCCAUUUACAGCAGUUGUUAGUUCUAUGACUCAGCGCAACCUCGUGACGUGACGACAUGUCAGUUUCACGUCAUCCCUCAUCAACUUUGACUUAGUUAUGCGUGCGUGAAGUUAAAGGGUCCAAUCAGUGCGCGAAUCAAACCGAACAGCACGAUACACGAUGGCAACCAGCGUGCCAAAAAAACAAACGAACACAUCCACCUUUUACUUAAGACUGAACUUCAUGAAUACAGAACACUACGAGCUCGGUACAUUUGUGGCAGCUGGCAACCUUCCCCGCAUUUUUAAAAUGGUUUGGAACAGCUAAGUUUAAUUGCAUCAUCCGCCCAGCACCAAAUCGAAAUUUAGCAUGACUGAAAUUGUUCUCGUUUUGUUUCUCGUCACAACGUUACCCUGACGACUGUUGAAGUAACAAAAAGCUUCUUUUCCUUCUCGAUUUGGCAUGUAUGUAGCGGAGCUGGCCGCCGUCAACUCCACUGUUGCAUAUGUCUUGCACAAUCGAGACUGUAAUUUGUAAAACAUUCGCAUCAUUCACAGAAGAAUGAAGGGACUCGUCCGCGUGAUAUUCUUGUUAUCGGUCGUGACGGGACUCGUUUCCAGUUAUUUGACUUCGAUCGAAGGCAAAAAUUUGCCCCAGGUGCCCCCUGUCAAGAAUUCAAUUUAUUUCUAAUUUACGACCAACCUAAAUAAAUAUAGCAUGUGCAACUUUUUUCAAUACCAACAAAUCAACAAUUCAUAAUUUAAGCAAAACUAGAGCUUUUUACUUUUAGUACAUAUUCGAAUAAAAGCAUGUUAUGCUUGAAGCUAGGGGAAAUGUACAUACUAAAAGAUACUAAAAACUAGGCCACCACUAUACAGGGUUUCCUCAGCUAAUCGUGAUUGGGGAUAAAGACUCUUAUUUUCAUUAUGGGAAUCUAUUCGAUUACAGUGUUUUUUUUCUCGUCUUCUAAAUAAUUGGAAUUCAAAAGUAAUUAAGCUCUGCUUCGCUGUAUAAGUAUGAAACUAUUUGGCAACAAAUUCUAAAGAAAUAUAUAAUGAAUAAACAUCUAAUACUGGCUAUGUGUUUCAGCCAUGUGCGAUAAUAGAAUCCAAUCAAUAUGGAUAUUAAUGAAGCAACUUUUCGGAGU